GGUCCGUUCGUCUAGCCCGGCCUAGGACACCGGCCUCUCACGUCGGCGACACGGGUUCAAAUCCCGUACGGACCACCA
rnacentral:tRNA from 1 species